rnacentral:rRNA from 1 species
UUGACCUCAAAUCAGGUAGGACUACCCGCUGAACUUAAGCAUAUCAAUAAGCGGAGGAAAAGAAACUAACAAGGAUUCCCCUAGUAACUGCGAGUGAAGCGGGAAAAGCUCAAAUUUAAAAUCUGGCGUCUUGCGGCCGUCCGAGUGUAUCUGGAGAGCGUCUAUCCGCGUCGGACGUGUACAAGUCUCUGGA